GGGGGGAAGGAAAAAAAAACUGGGGAGAACUAGGCGGCUUUCUGAUCAGAGUUCAGAUAAAAAGGGUCACAGUAAUUUGUGGGCACUGACUAAAAUAACCCAAUGGAUUUGAGAGUUACCGCAAAAGAAGCAAACAGACAAACUAAAGAGGUAUAACUCCUACUUGAAGAGUGUGAGAGAAUAUUUACUACUCGGAUGUUUGAGACAUACCAAAAAAUGCUUUUUGAUCCUUUAUCAAGAAGACGUAAUGACCAAGAUUGAUAAAGAAAAAUGCAAUGGUUACUUUACCUGCAACCAUCUCAAAGACGCUCUAAUGUCAUUUCAGAGGACUUCAGCCAUGAACUUGGUGAUGAGCCAGAGAAGGUAACUUUUCAUCCCCUACAAGACCUUAAAGAAGAAAGCCUUAAAAACCCUUGAGUGAAUGGUUGGUAUUUACAGACAAGCAAAUGUAUGGAAGAGAAACGAGAGACCCAGCCUGAAUCUGUUGAAUGAACGAAAGGGGAAAUGCCCUAAGGAGUCAGAUGGAAGAAGUUUUUCUGGGAAGAGCAGAACACAGGAGUUGGGGUGCAGACCUCCUGGAUCACCAGCAGAAGGAAAAGAGCAGUGAGACGUUAAAGUGAUUGAGACAAAAAUGGAAGUAAAACAGCUUAAGGCUUUCUGAGAUCGAGUUCCUGGCAGUGUCAUCAGCAGAUGGUUUCUUCUGAAGUUCAGGGGAAGAGAAGAUGCUCGAAGAACUCUCCAGGGACUGAGUGGGUGGUACAGAGCUAGUGCUGUAGAUGCCAUGUAUACAGGCAAAUUCCCCAAUGAGUGUUUUCCAAUAUCAAGUUUAACUGGCAUUUAAGAUAUAUGCCAAAGGUAGGUAAAUUAUUUUGGCCUGUGCUUAUAGGUUUAUUUCCCUGGAUGAAGCUUUCUGUCUCUGUCCUAGUGCACUGUAGCAGAUGCAGGGUCUUUCCAUACAAUACAUUAAAAGCUGCAUCUCAUUUUAAAUAUAUUAUAGAAACCCUGAUCAUACAAUACAUACAAGAUUUUUAAGAUCAGCCUUCAGUCGAUUUUUUUGCUUUAUUUUUGUUCUGGAGGUCAAAAUGAGUGGUUAACUGUCUAAGUUGAUUGCAGAGAAAGUUACUACUCAUUCUAAACGUAGGUUUUUAGAAAAGUGUUCUUGGCAGUUGCUACCAUUGGCUUUUUCCAACUUACAUGGGAAUCAAGAUUCAGAACUGGUACACCAAUGGGAAGAGCCUGGAAAAUAGACUAUUGAUCAAGAUGAAUCUGGUCCAGAUACUUUAAGACCUUUUCAGUGUGUUUUUAAGAUUAUAAGUUUGAACUAACAGAAACUUCAAUGCUGUUUUUUCACAAGUCAAUGUGUAGUGUACUGUUAUUCUUUUUUUUCCUGUAAUAUCUUAAUAAUAUUCCUGGCUGUAAGAAAAAGUUAACACUAUACCUAUGUUUUGACUUACUUUAUAGAAGACCCAAACAAUAUUUAACAAAAGGAUUUUUCUCAAAUACUAUUUUGAAAUCACUAUAUUAGACACUAUCUUAAAUUUAUUUCUCAAUUUGCUUCUUUUUGAAACUUCCACAUUUUGGUGUUCUUUUCAGCAUCACUCAUUUUCUUUCAUAAUAAAGAUACCCAAUAACAAUAUCAUAAUAAAGAUUUGAUAACAAAUCUCCAGUUUUGGAGUGUUACAUUUCAUAUCUACAUGCUUACAGAGAAUUUAGUAUGAAUAUUCCCUGGCCUUAGUUCCUCUAAGCCUAGGAUACUUGUAGUCAUUUGGCAAAUAAUUUAAUCCAUGGCAAACAUGAGUCUUAAUACAAAAAUUAUUGAGUAGGCAAAAAAUAAUUGAACAUAUUUUGGACUGAUUACCAGUGCAUUAAAAAAGUAGAGGUUUAAGGAUGAGAAUAAUAAGUUUUUUUGUUUUUACUUAAAUUUAUAUAAAAGGAGUGAAAAUACAGUAGCCUAUAGUACUUAAGAGUGUGGGUAUAUUUUCAGCACUUAAUAAUUACUAGUUGAAUUGCAUAAUAUGGGACUAUAACUGAUAUGGUUUGGCUCUGUGUCCCCGCCCAAAUCUCAUGUUGAAUUAUAAUUUCCAAUAUUGGAGGAGGUACCUAGUGGGAGGUGACUGGAUCAUUGGGGGAAAUUUCCCCCUUGCUGUCCUCAUGAUAGUGAGUGAGUUCUCACAAGAUCUGAUGGUUUAAAAGUGUGUGGCAUUUCCCCCUUUACUCUUUCUCUCUCCUGCUGGCCAUGAGAAUAAGUGCUUGCUUCCCAUUCACCUUCUGCCAUGCUUGUGUUUCCUGAGGCUUCCCAGCCAUGCUUCUUGUUCAAGCUGCAGAACUGUGAGUCAAUUAAACCUCAUUUCUUCAUAAAUUACCCAGUCUCAGCUCUUUAUGGGAGUGUGAGAAUGGACUAAUAAAAUAUCUCUAGAAUUAUGUUUUUGGAGAUAAUUUAAAGAUAAACAAAUAUUGGAAACCUCAUUUGAUCACACAGAGAACAGUAAAUGGAAGUUCUACUUUUUCUCCAGGGCCUUUCUCAUGCUUAUGCAGGGAUUAUUCACCCAGAUAUCCUGAAAUAAGACAUCCAAUUAAGGUACCUGCUAUCUCAUGUAACACAGAAGAAAGUUGAGCAUAGAGGUUAAACAUUACCUAAUAUUGUUGGAAAAGCUUCGAAGCGUUCAUUUUCAAAGCAGCUAAUGUAAACCAUGAUAAUCACUAGUAGCACUAUGCCAUUUUAAAUACUUCAAUAUUUUGUAGUUAUUAGAUUCUAAGUAAGUAUAAAAUGUAGUGAAUACAAAUUUUAUUUGCCUAAACAGUGUUAGACAAUAUAAAUUAACGAGUUAUUUUUUAUUCUGUUUAAUAUUUUCAAGCCAAUAAACACUUUACUAAAGUA
rnacentral:lncRNA from 1 species